rnacentral:rRNA from 1 species
UACGAAGGGUGCAAGCGUUACUCGGAAUUACUGGGCGUAAAGCGUGCGUAGGUGGUGAGUUAAGUCUGAUGUGAAAUCCCCGGGCUCAACCUGGGAAUGGCAUUGGAUACUGGCUCGCUAGAGUGCGGUAGAGGGUGGUGGAAUUCCCGGUGUAGCAGUGAAAUGCGUAGAGAUCGGGAGGAACAUCUGUGGCGAAGGCGGCCACCUGGACCACUUCUGACGCUGAGACACGAAAGCGUGGGUAGCAAACAGG